CCUGAUCCAGCAAUGCCGCGUGUGUGAAGAAGGCCUUCGGGUUGUAAAGCACUUUUAUCAGGAGCGAAAUACUGCCGGCUAAUACCCGGCGGGGCUGACGGUACCUGAGGAAUAAGCACCGGCUAACUUCGUGCCAGCAGCCGCGGUAAUACGAAGGGUGCAAGCGUUAAUCGGAAUUACUGGGCGUAAAGCGUGCGUAGGCGGUUCUUUAAGUCUGCUGUGAAAUCCCCGGGCUCAACCUGGGAAUGGCAGUGGAUACUGGAGAGCUAGAGUGUGAUAGAGGAUGGUGGAAUUCCCGGUGUAGCGGUGAAAUGCGUAGAGAUCGGGAGGAACAUCAGUGGCGAAGGCGGCCAUCUGGAUCAACACUGACGCUGAGGCACGAAAGCGUGGGGAGCAAACAGGAUUAGAUACCCUGGUAGUCCACGCCCUAAACGAUGCGAACUGGAUGUUGGUCUCAACUCGGAGAUCAGUGUCGAAGCUAACGCGUUAAGUUCGCCGCCUGGGGAGUACGGUCGCAAGACUGAAACUCAAAGGAAUUGACGGGGGCCCGCACAAGCGGUGGAGUAUGUGGUUUAAUUCGAUGCAACGCGAAGAACCUUACCUGGCCUUGACAUGUCUGGAAUCCUGCAGA
rnacentral:rRNA from 1 species